GACGAAGGGGGCUAGCGUUGUUCGGAAUUACUGGGCGUAAAGGGCGCGUAGGCGGCCUGCUAAGUCGAACGUGAAAUCCCCGGGCUCAACCCGGGAACUGCGUCCGAUACUGGCAGGCUUGAAUUCGGGAGAGGGAUGCGGAAUUCCAGGUGUAGCGGUGAAAUGCGUAGAUAUCUGGAGGAACACCGGUGGCGAAGGCAGCCUUCUGGGCCAACACUGACGCUCAUGCACGAAAGCGUGGGGAGCAAACAGG
rnacentral:rRNA from 1 species